UUCCGGUUGAUCCUGCCGGACCUGACUGCUAUCGGAUUGAUACUAAGCCAUGCGAGUCAUUGUAGCAAUACAAGGCAGACGGCUCAGUAACGCGUAGUCAAUCUACCCUAUGGACGGGAAUAACCUCGGGAAACUGAGAAUAAUGCCCGAUAGAACAUUAUGCCUGGAAUGGUUUAUGUUUCAAAUGAUUUAUCGCCAUAGGAUGGGACUGCGGCCUAUCAGUUUGUUGGUGAGGUAAUGGCCCACCAAGACUAUUACAGGUACGGGCUCUGAGAGGAGUAGCCCGGAGAUGGGUACUGAGACACGGACCCAGGCCCUAUGGGGCGCAGCAGGCGAGAAAACUUUGCAAUGUGCGGAAGCACGGCAAGGUUAAUCCGAGUGGUUUCUGCUAAAGAAACCUUUUGUCAGUCCUAGAAACACUAACGAAUAAGGGGUGGGCAAGUUCUGGUGUCAGCCGCCGCGGUAAAACCAGCACCUCAAGUGGUCAGGAUGAUUAUUGGGCCUAAAGCAUCCGUAGCUCGUUUUGUAAGUUUUCGGUUAAAUCCAUGCGCUUAACGUAUGGGCUGCCGGGAAUACUGCAUAACUAGGAAGUGGGAGAGGUAGACGGUACUCGGGAGGAAGGGGUAAAAUCCUUUGAUCUCUUGAUGACCACCUGUGGCGAAGGCGGUCUACCAGAACACGUUCGACGGUGAGGGAUGAAAGCUGGGGGAGCAAACCGGAUUAGAUACCCGGGUAGUCCCAGCUGUAAACUAUGCAAACUCAGUGAUGCAUUGGCUUAUGGCCAAUGCAGUGCUGCAGGGAAGCCGUUAAGUUUGCCGCCUGGGAAGUACGUACGCAAGUAUGAAACUUAAAGGAAUUGGCGGGGGAGCA
rnacentral:rRNA from 1 species